rnacentral:misc_RNA from 1 species
GAUGAAGAACGCAGCGAAAUGCGAUACGUAAUGUGAAUUGCAGAAUUCAGUGAAUCAUCGAAUCUUUGAACGCAUAUUGCGCUCUUUGGUAUUCCGAAGAGCAUGCUCGUUUGAGUAUCAGUAAACACCUCAACCUCUUCUUGAUUUUUCAAAAGGAGGGUGGACUUGAGCUAUCCCAACAACCUUUACCGGUCGGCGGGCGGCUUGAAAUGCAGGUGCAGCUGGACUUUUAUCUGAGCUAAAAGCAUAUCUAUUUAGUCCUCGUCAAACAGGAUUAUUACUUUUGCUGCAGCUAACAUAAAGGAUAAUUGUCCUCUUUGCUGACUGAUGCAGGAUUUUACGACACUUUAUGUGUUGUUCAACUCGAUCUCAAAUCAAGUAAGACUACCCGCUGAACUUAAGCAUAUCAAUAAGCGGAGGA